GAUGAACGCUAGCGGCAGGCUUAAUACAUGCAAGUCGAGGGGCAGCAUGACUGUAGCAAUACGGUUGAUGGCGACCGGCAAACGGGUGCGGAACACGUACAGAACCUUCCUUCGAGCGGGGAAUAGCCCAGAGAAAUUUGGAUUAAUACCCCAUAGUAUUACGGAGUGGCAUCACUUUGUAAUUAAAGAUUUAUCACUUGAAGAUGGCUGUGCGGCUGAUUAGGUAGUUGGCGGGGUAACGGCCCACCAAGCCUGCGAUCAGUAACUGGUGUGAGAGAAACACCAGUCACACGGGCACUGCGAAAAGGGCCCGACUCCGACGGGAGGCAGCAGUAGGGAAUGUUAGUUAAUGGACGAAAGUCUGAACCAGCCAUGCCGCGUGGAGGAUGAAGGUCCUCUGGAUUGUAAACUUCUUUUAUAUGGGACGAAAAAAGGCUUUUCUAAGUCGUCUGACGGUACCUUAUGAAUAAGCACCGGCUAACUCCGUGCCAGCCGCCGCGGUAAUAC
rnacentral:rRNA from 1 species